GAUGAACGCUGGCGGCGUGCCUAAUACAUGCAAGUCGAGCGAACAGACGAGGAGCUUGCUCCUCUGACGUUAGCGGCGGACGGGUGAGUAACACGUGGAGAACCUACCUAUAAGACUGGGAUAACUUCGAGAAACCGGAGCUAAUACCGGAGAAUAUAUUGAACCGCAUGGUUCAAUAGUGAAAGAAGGUUUUGCUGUCACUUAUAGAUGGAUCCGCGCCGCAUUAGCUAGUUGGUAAGGUAACGGCUUACCAAGGCGACGAUGCGUAGCCGACCUGAGAGGGUGAUCGGCCACACUGCAACUGAGACACGGUCCAGACUCCUACGGGAGGCAGCAGUAGGGAAUAUUACGCAAUGGGCGGAAGCAUGCCGGAGCAACGCCGCGUGAGUGAUGAAGGUCUUCGGAUCGUAAAACUCUGCUAUUAGGGAAGAACCAGUGUGUAAGUAACUAUGCACGUCUUGACGGUACCUAAUCAGAAAGCCCCGGCUAACUACGUG
rnacentral:rRNA from 1 species